rnacentral:lncRNA from 1 species
AAAGUAAGAUAUUCAAAUUCCUUCUGUAUUUAUACAUGUAAUCAACACAUAGCACAAGAACUGUGUAAACAGCAUUUACAAACCUAUUGUGGACAAUAACACAAAAAUCAUAACAUAACAAACUUAUCCAAAAACAUGUAAAAUGUUUAAAUGGUCCUAAGCCAUUUUUUUCAUGACUCUAAACAAUUCUUAAAUACAUUUAAAACAAUACAAGCAUGUGGUUGGUAGCUACUGAAACUUUGACACAUCUUAAUUUUUUAUGUCUUUAUUUGUAUACCUCAGUAUCAUAUAUAAUGAUUCAAAGGCCUUCACAGGCUUAAAACAGACUAAGUCAUAAAAACCAUACGUCUUUUAGUCAUAUCUGCCAUCUUAAACUUAAACAAACAACAGAACAGACUUGUAUAUAGCUAUCCACCUCGGUAUAAAAUGUUUACAUUUAGCAAAUAUGAUAAAUUUCUCAAUUUAGACUCUAAUUGGUAAGUGGCACUUAUGACUUAUUUUUAAUUGCUUGUCACUUGAUGACUUGGGUCAGAAGUUUGUAUUCCAGUCUUAUGUUCAGUGGAAAUAUUCUGGAUAACAGUUUAUUACUAGUGACUGAAUUAUUGAAUGCGCUUUCUUGUUAGGCCCUUCAUGAAAUGGGAAUUGACCAGCAGAGGGAGCCGAGAUCCAGGAAUUACCAUACUUCAAAUGCUUUGGUGUCUGUGACUUCCCAACAAAUGAAAUAAGUACUACAGCUCCAGGAAGAAAGUAGAGCAGCCAACGCUCAUAAGCGUCUCUGGGUUAUGGAUUACAGUGGUUUCACCUCAGUUCAGAACUCACCUCCGGGACUUCAUAAAGCUCCUGACUCUUGGCCAGACUCUCAUUAGGCCCACACAGCCCUUUGCCCUCUAUCCGACAGCACUUGGCAAGUGCUGUAGUAAAUGGGAUCUGGAAGCAAGGCACUGGAAAGGGGAAGGAUUCUGCCAGAUGACAGAAGAGCUAUUACCAGACCGCUGCGUUCGGUGAACAGAGCAGGUCUAGGAAAAGCAAUAAAUGGUUUGUUUGUUGACAACAACUUGGGAAUCCUCUGGGAGAUGAGGACACACCCACAUCUGCUCCAUACCAGUGUCAUGGAGGAUGUUACGGCUCUGAGUCACUUUCGUGGCAUCUGACACCCACACAAGAAAAACAGGAAACUUACUGCAGGACACACUGCCUCAGUAAUGAUUGACUCUACAUCCUGCAUCCCUGUUUUAUGAGUUAUAUUUGAGAGGAGUAAAGUUAUUCACAUAAAUAAAGUUGUUGGGGGUUUUUUUUUUCGACUGAUCACUACAGUCAUACUACACUUGGAAAGAGAAAGAGAGAAUAUGGAACUUGUUUAGUUACACAUUCAGCAGAACACAAUCAUCCAGCUUAAGCGGUGUUAUAUAUAACCAUGAGUGUUAGUUCCAUAACCAAUUAGAGAUCACCCUCCUAACACCCAAACUCAUUUGUUAUUUGCAUUUUCAAUUUCUCCUAUUAGCUGGACCUUGUAAGUAUAAAAAGUAAGAAUCACCUUUGAACAGAAAGUGUUUUUAAAAAGGUGUGCUCAUGAGGACAAUGGGUUUAUCUUGCAGCACAACACAAAGUUGCCAUAUUUUAUCAAAUUUUAAAACACUUAAAAAGCAGAAUGAAGGUGCAGAAAAGCCUAAAUCAGACAAAUCAUACAUGACAUUUUCAAAGAAUGCAAACUUUCUCAUUACAAGUUGCCAAAUCUGCCAGAAAUAGGCAGAUUAAUCAGUCGUUGCUCUCUCUCUCUCUGGAAUUGCUGCACAGAGGAUGUAACAUCUAUAAUAAGCACUGAGGUUUGUGUCCUUGUCUGGAUUACGCCAUCCUCAGCCUCCAGGUUAGGAAAAGUGGAACAGAAGAUAUUCAGAUACAUCUCUCCACAGCUGCUGAUGAAUUCUACAAAAAUAAGAAACAGUUAGUUAAAAACACUUUCAGGUGAAUUUCACCAC